AAGACGCACGCUCAAAAUUUCGUUCCAAAUUUUUAGUUAACAAAUUAUUAUUCACCUAUAUAAUUUUGUUUUCUUGUCACUGAUCAAACUAACUAAAGAAAGAAAAAUAUUUGGGUUGCUCUUUGUAUAAUCCAUUUUCAUGUUCCCAUCAAUUUUUGUAGUUUAAAUGUGUACAUGGAAAAAAGAGAGGAGGGAAUAGAUAGAAAAAAGGGUGAAAUCGGAAAGAAGCUAUAUAUGAGAGUCACAUCAACGAGGAAGGUCCAUUGGGUACUUAACGAGUAGAAAGAAGAAGACGAGAUUCGCACAUGGGUGGUGGGUUCUUUUUGUUCCCUCCCUAGGACAUCUAUAGUCUCUUCCAUUCACUUUAAACAA